rnacentral:rRNA from 1 species
AUUGAACGCUGGCGGCAGGCCUAACACAUGCAAGUCGAGCGGAUGAAGGGAGCUUGCUCCUGGAUUCAGCGGCGGACGGGUGAGUAAUGCCUAGGAAUCUGCCUGGUAGUGGGGGAUAACGUCCGGAAACGGGCGCUAAUACCGCAUACGUCCUGAGGGAGAAAGUGGGGGAUCUUCGGACCUCACGCUAUCAGAUGAGCCUAGGUCGGAUUAGCUAGUUGGUGGGGUAAAGGCCUACCAAGGCGACGAUCCGUAACUGGUCUGAGAGGAUGAUCAGUCACACUGGAACUGAGACACGGUCCAGACUCAUACGGGAGGCAGCAGUGGGGAAUAUUGGACAAUGGGCGAAAGCCUGAUCCAGCCAUGCCGCGUGUGUGAAGAAGGUCUUCGGAUUGUAAAGCACUUUAAGUUGGGAGGAAGGGCAGUAAGUUAAUACCUUGCUGUUUUGAAGUUACCAACAGAAUAAGCACCGGCUAACUUCGUG